rnacentral:lncRNA from 1 species
UUUUCAGAUUUGCUGUAAUACAAGUUUUUAACAUACUUCCUAAUGAUUUUCUGAAUUUAAUUGGCAUCUGUUAUAAUAUCUACUUUUUCAUUUCAAAUUUUGUUAACUUGAGUCUUUCUUUUGAUUCAUACUGGUAAAGUUUCUUUAUUUUGCUUUUUUUCUGCAGAAAUCUUGGUCUUUAUUUCAUUUUGGGGAGGGGAGUUAAAUUCUACUUUUCUUCUGACAGAAAAUGUUGUAAAUUUAUUACUUACUAAGUACUAUUGCAAAAAAAUUUUUUUUUGAUUUUGCAAGACAGAGUCUUUCUGUGUAACCCUGGCUGUCCUGGAACUUGCUCUGUAGACCAGGCUGGACUCAAACUCACAAUGCAGGGGUUAAAGGCAUGUGCCACCACUGCUCAAAUAAAGGCAAAACCUUUUAAAUCACUC